CGUUGCAACUGUCUCGAGGGAGGGGACAGAACGUUGCGGCGGGCGGGAUGGAACGUGGCCAGCCCAGCGCGAGAUCGGAAACGGAUGGAUCGUGGCCGGGGAGCCCCGGAUCGAGGGAUGCCGGUGGCCGGGAUCCCUUUGGAAACAAAGAAGAUGAUCUAACAACUUACAUGGCUGCAAACCACAGCAUAACAAGAACCAGUGGCUGGACAUUAGAGCCAGACAAAUUCCAGCUGGAAAUAAGAUGCUGGUUUUUCUCCCUGAGAGGGAUUAACCAUUGAAACAAAAUGCCUGGGGAAGUGUUGGUUACUCUUCUCCAUGGCUUCCAGUCAAGACUGGAUGCCUUUUGAGAUGUUACUGGACUCAGGGCAGGGGGACCAGGGUGAACUCACUGGUCUGGGUUACAAAGGAGGUCAGACUAAAUGAUGUAAUGGUCCCUUCUGCCGUUGGACUGGCUGAAGUUGAAUUUUGAAAAUGCAGGUGAUUUACAAUUUUCGUGGCUGCAUCAUCAAAACAUUUCCUGAAUUUAUCCUGCCUCCUCUGAGGUGGGGAAAUACUAGUCCACUUUUAUAGGUGGGGAAACGGAGGCAAAAAGAGAGGGUCACACAGGGAGUCGUAGAGCCAGGAAUUGAACCCACAGCUCCUGAGACCCACUCCUGCCACCAGGCCAACUUGCCCCAGUGACCCCUUGUGAUCGUGCUCAGCUGAGAGGCCAAUGAUUGAAGAGGCUGAGACUGAUGACAUGUCUCAUCCCAGGUCAGGCAUGAGGCAGCUACAGGGGAAGAUGGCCAUGUGACUGGGACUUAGGUGUUUUGGGUUUGAUUCCCAGCUCUGCUAGAAACUUUGGCAAGUCACCUCAUUUAUGCCUUAGUUUCCCCUUCUCUAAAAUGAGAAUAAUUUUGCCUUUGUCUAGAUGGAUUGUAAGUUCUUUGGAGAUGGGCUCUUACUGUGUGUCUGCGCAGUGCCUGGCACAACAUGGCCAUGAUCUCAGCUGGGGCAGGGCUUGUCUCUCGCUGUGUCUGGGCAGCACCUGGAACAACAGGGUCCUGAUCCCAGCUGGGGCAAGGCCAGUCUCUGUCUGGGAAGCACCUGGUACAACAGAAUCCUGACUUGGGUUUCCAGCAAUAUAUAAACAGUAACAGUUUUGUCCUAUGCUGGUCCUGUGUUAAAGAUGCUGUCCUGAGCUCUUAACCCCAGUACUUCUGAUCAACUAGUAUAUUUCCCUGUUUGCAAUAUGUGGUUUUGAUACUUUCCGACCGCCACUACAUUUGCUCAUUUAAAAGAAAACGGACGAAAUAAAAUAUCUCUGUGGAGCAAUUGUUUCCUGUU